UACGUAGGGGGCAAGCGUUGUCCGGAAUCAUUGGGCGUAAAGCGCGCGUAGGCGGCCCUGUAAGUCCGUUGUGAAAGUCAAAGGCUCAACCUUUGAACGCCGAUGGAUACUGCCGGGCUAGAGUCCGGAAGAGGCGAGUGGAAUUCCUGGUGUAGCGGUGGAAUGCGCAGAUAUCAGGAGGAACACCAAUAGCGAAGGCAGCUCGCUGGGACGGUACUGACGCUGAGGCGCGAAAGCGUGGGGAGCGAACAGG
rnacentral:rRNA from 1 species